GCCGUGAGGUCUAUCCAGGAGAGGACGCAACGGGGAGAAAUCUGGUGGUGGCAAAAACGAUUGAACUCAUUCAAGAGUAUCAUUCUGCUGCUGAGCUGCACAAAUUGCUAAACACCAAAUAGGCAAUGUUUUACAUUGUUGAAUUUGAAGAGACCCAAGAAGUCGAGGUGGUGCCAGCAGCUUGGGUGGCUGAUGAC